rnacentral:rRNA from 1 species
UAUGAAGGGUGCAAGCGUUACUCGGAAUUACUGGGCGUAAAGCGUGCGUAGGUGGUUUGUUAAGUCUGAUGUGAAAGCCCUGGGCUCAACCUGGGAAUUGCAUUGGAUACUGGCAGGCUAGAGUGCGGUAGAGGAUGGCGGAAUUCCCGGUGUAGCAGUGAAAUGCGUAGAGAUCGGGAGGAACAUCUGUGGCGAAGGCGGCCAUCUGGACCAGCACUGACACUGAGGCACGAAAGCGUGGGGAGCAAACAGG